ACCAGUGUAGCAAAAUUGGAAUAUGCCUCGGGGCGGCCACGGGUACGACCCCGUGAAGUGUAGGUUCGAGUCCUAUCGCUGGUA
rnacentral:tRNA from 1 species